GACGAACGCUGGCGGCGUGCUUAACACAUGCAAGUCGAACGCUGAAGCCCAGCUUGCUGGGUGGAUGAGUGGCGAACGGGUGAGUAACACGUGAGUAACCUGCCCCCUUCUUUGGGAUAACGCCCGGAAACGGGUGCUAAUACUGGAUAUUCACUGGCCUUCGCAUGGGGGUUGGUGGAAAGGUUUUUUCUGGUGGGGGAUGGGCUCGCGGCCUAUCAGCUUGUUGGUGGGGUGAUGGCCUACCAAGGCUUUGACGGGUAGCCGGCCUGAGAGGGUGACCGGUCACAUUGGGACUGAGAUACGGCCCAGACUCCUACGGGAGGCAGCAGUGGGGAAUAUUGCACAAUGGGCGAAAGCCUGAUGCAGCGACGCCGCGUGAGGGAUGACGGCCUUCGGGUUGUAAACCUCUUUCGCUCAUGGUCAAGCCGCAACUUUGGGUUGUGGUGAGGGUAGUGGGUAAAGAAGCGCCGGCUAACUACGUG
rnacentral:rRNA from 1 species